rnacentral:rRNA from 1 species
GGGCGUAAGGGCUCGUAGGUGGUUGAUCGCGUCGGAAGUGUAAUCUUGGGGCUUAACCCUGAGCGUGCUUUCGGUACGGGUUGACUUGAGGAAGGUAGGGGAGAAUGGAAUUCCUGGUGGAGCGGUGGAAUGCGCAGAUAUCAGGAGGAACACCAGUGGCGAAGGCGGUUCUCUGGGCCUUUCCUGACGCUGAGGAGCGAAAGCGUGGGGAGCGAACAGGCUUAGAUACCCUGGUAGUCCACGCUGUAAACGGUGGGUACUAGGUGUGGGGUCCAUUCCACGGGUUCCGUGCCGUAGCUAACGCUUUAAGUACCCCGCCUGGGGAGUACGGCCGCAAGGCUAAAACUCAAAGGAAUUGACGGGGCCCCGCACAAGCGGCGGAGCAUGCGGAUUAAUUCGAUGCAACGCGUAGAACCUUACCUGGGUUUGACAUGGAUCGGGAGCGCCCAGAGAUGGGUGUGCCUCUUUUGGGGUCGGUUCACAGGUGGUGCAUGGCUGUCGUCAGCUCGUGUCGUGAGAUGUUGGUUAAGUCCCGCAACGAGCGCAACCCUUGUUCACUGUUGCCAGCACGUUAUGGUGGGGACUCAGUGGAGACCGCCGGGGUCAACUCGGAGGAAGGU